UGGGGAAUAUUGCACAAUGGGCGCAAGCCUGAUGCAGCCAUGCCGCGUGUGUGAAGAAGGCCUUCGGGUUGUAAAGCACUUUCAGCGAGGAGGAAGGUGGUGAGCUUAAUACGCUCAUCAAUUGACGUUACUCGCAGAAGAAGCACCGGCUAACUCCGUGCCAGCAGCCGCGGUAAUACGGAGGGUGCAAGCGUUAAUCGGAAUUACUGGGCGUAAAGCGCACGCAGGCGGUUUGUUAAGUCAGAUGUGAAAUCCCCGGGCUCAACCUGGGAACUGCAUUUGAAACUGGCAAGCUAGAGUCUCGUAGAGGGGGGUAGAAUUCCAGGUGUAGCGGUGAAAUGCGUAGAGAUCUGGAGGAAUACCGGUGGCGAAGGCGGCCCCCCUGGACGAAGACUGACGCUCAGGUGCGAAAGCGUGGGGAGCAAAACAGGAUUAGAUACCCUGGUAGUCCACGCUGUAAACGAUGUCGAUUUGGAGGUUGUGCCCUUGAGGCGUGGCUUCCGGAGCUAACGCGUUAAAUCGACCGCCUGGGGAGUACGGCCGCAAGGUUAAAACUUAAAUGAAUUGACGGGGUCAUAGCUGUUUCCU
rnacentral:rRNA from 1 species